rnacentral:rRNA from 1 species
AACGCGAAGAACCUUACCAGCCCUUGACAUCCCGGUCGCGGUUUUCAGAGAUGAAUUCCUUCAGUUCGGCUGGACCGGUGACAGGUGCUGCAUGGCUGUCGUCAGCUCGUGUCGUGAGAUGUUGGGUUAAGUCCCGCAACGAGCGCAACCCUCGCCUUUAGUUGCCAGCAUUUAGUUGGGCACUCUAGAGGGACUGCCGGUGAUAAGCCGGAGGAAGGUGGGGAUGACGUCAAGUCCUCAUGGCCCUUAUGGGCUGGGCUACACACGUACUACAAUGCUACGGACAAAGGGCAGCAAACUCGCGAGAGCUAGCAAAUCCCAUAAACCGUGGCUCAGUUCAGAUCGUAGGCUGCAACUCGCCUACGUGAAGUAGGAAUCGCUAGUAAUCGCAGGUCAGCAUACUGCGGUGAAUACGUUCCCGGGUCUUGUACACACCGA